rnacentral:rRNA from 1 species
GACGAACGCUGGCGGCGUGGAUUAGGCAUGCAAGUCGAACGGUAUCAUCCUUUCGGGGGUGAGAGAGUGGCGAACUGGUGAGUAACACGUAGGUUAUCUACCCUCAAGACGGGGACAACCCAGGGAAACUUGGGCUAAUACCGGAUGUGAGCAACUUUUAGUUGUUUGAAAGGUGGCGUAAGCUGUCGCUUGGGGAUGAGCCUGCGUCCUAUUAGUUAGUUGGUGAGGUAACGGCUCACCUAGGCAAUGAUAGGUAGGCGGCCUUAACGGGUGGUCGCCCACACUGGGAUUGAGAUACGGCCCAGACUCCUACGGGAGGCAGCAGUCGAGAAUAGUCUACAAUGGUCGGAAGACUGAUAGUGCGACGCCGCGUGAACGAUGAAUCCCUUCGGGGUGUAAAGUUCUUUUAUAUGUGAGCAGUGCUUCUAUAUUAACAGUAUGGGGAAGAGAUAUUAGCAUAUGAAUAAGCAACGGCUAACUCCGUGCCAGCAGCCGCGGUAAAACG